rnacentral:piRNA from 1 species
UGCAAAGGUGUAGGCUUAAGGCCCUGGC